CAAAACUGGUGCCAGUGAUUUCGUGGCAGAUAGUCACACAUCUGAGUCAGAUCUAAACAAAUGUGGCUAGAUCAUGUCAGAAGGGCUCAGAACCACCAGAAGUGCUGUCUUUUAGAUUAAUCAUAAAACCAAAGUUCAAUCCUUGCCUCUGCAGGUACAUUAAAGCUUGUCCCUCUAUGUUCUUUGUUGGUUACUAACUCUAAUGCUCUUCAUAAAUCUCAGCCUGGUGAAAAAUGCUGGAUUCUCCAAAAGACAGGAGGUUAAAGCCCCAUCCAGAAGUGCAUGAACACAGAUGAAGAAGAGGCAUCAGCCUGUGUAACAUCUCAGAUGGCUGUGGAAGGUGACAGAAAGAAGCAAGACUUGACAGACAGUGAAGGAGCCGUGCAGAUGGGAGUGGAUGCUCUGGGGAACAUUCUAAUGUUGAAAACAUUUACAGAAUAUUCAUUCAAUCUGUGUGCCCAGUCAGAGAUGCAGUGGAUACAUAAUUUUUACAGACUUAAACAGUGAGAAGACAUUACAUGACUAAAAUGAAGUAGCUCAAAGAAAAAUUCACCAAUGCCCCAAAUCCACCAAAAAUGCCCCAAAGAAAGGGCAAGCUGACUUGGAAAACCAGGAGCCAUCUCUACUCCUACCAGCUGGAGCUUCUCCCACUUCUACAGCCAUUAAAGUUAUGAAAUGUUUGGAUGUUUUACUAAUUCUAUUAAGAAGCAGAAAGGCUGUUCCCACCAUGACCAGAAAAUGAAACAGCAGCAAUCACACGGGAAAACGCUCAACUUCCCAGACUCAGCGGUUUUAUUAGUGCAAAUACCCUCCAGACAGACAGCCACACAUUUUCCUGCUUCCUUACACUGAACCCUAAUUCAGCCUGGGGUGGCUAAGCUGGUGCUACUAACCUUCUUCUCCAGCUCAUUUCACCUGCCGGAAGGAGUGGCCUGCUGAUGAGGAUUUUGACCAAGGAUUCUAACACAUUUGUUGUUUAUUUUGUCUCUCUUUCUUUUGUGGAUUGCCUGAGUAACUUUGGGCAAGUUGUUGGUGUCCCAGCUCCCCAGCUAUGAAAUGGAAAUAGUAUGCUGAAAAACUGCAUCAAGAAAGUUAAUUUUGAUGAACCUGGUAUAUGCUGCUAAUAAAAAUUUUGGAAACACCA
rnacentral:lncRNA from 1 species